rnacentral:rRNA from 1 species
AUUGAACGCUGGCGGCAGGCCUAACACAUGCAAGUCGAACGGUAACAGGGAUCUGAUUGUUGAUUCGCUGACGAGUGGCGGACGGGUGAGUAAUGCCUGGGAAACUGCCUGAUGGAGGGGGAUAACUACUGGAAACGGUCGCUAAUACCGCAUAACGUCGACAGCACAAAGAGGGGGAACUUCGGGCCUCUGGCCAUCGGACGCGCCCAGUAGGGAAUAGCUCGUCGGUGGGGUAACGGCUCACCUAGGCGACGAUCCAUAGCUGGACUAAGAGGAUGACCAGCAGCACGGGUGAGAGAGUGCGGGGCAAACUCCGACGUGAGGCAGCAGCCGGGAAUAUUGCACAAGGAGCGGAGGCCUGAAUCGGCCAAUCGGCGUGUAUGAAGUAGACCUACGCGUUGUAAAGUACGUUCAGCUGCGGUGUAGAGAGUACUGUUAGUACCGAUGCUCAUGGACGUUACCCGCUGAAGAAGCACCGGCUAACUCCGU